AACGAACGCUGGCGGCAUGCCUAACACAUGCAAGUCGAACGAGACCUUCGGGUCUAGUGGCGCACGGGUGCGUAACGCGUGGGAACCUGCCCUUAGGUUCGGAAUAACUCCCCGAAAGGGGUGCUAAUACCGGAUAAUGUCUUCGGACCAAAGAUUUAUCGCCUUUGGAUGGGCCCGCGUUGGAUUAGCUAGUUGGUAGGGUAAAAGCCUACCAAGGCGACGAUCCAUAGCUGGUCUGAGAGGAUGAUCAGCCACACUGGGACUGAGACACGGCCCAGAAUACUACGGGAGGCAGCAGUGGGGAAUAUUGGAAAAUGGGCGAAAGCAUGAUCCAGCAAUGCCGCGUGAGUGAUGAAGGCCUUAGGGUUGUAAAGCUCUUUUAACCGGGAUGAUAAUGACAGUACCGGGAGAAUAAGCUCCGGCUAACUCCGUG
rnacentral:rRNA from 1 species